ACGGAAAAAACACAAUAAACAAACAGUUCUAUUUGUGUUAAUAAGGUAUGCACCAUAAAAGUUUACAUCUCUUUUCGAUUUUCGGGGUUUCGGGGUUGGCU
rnacentral:misc_RNA from 1 species